ACUCCUACGGGAGGCAGCAGUAGGGAAGUCUUCCACAAUGGGCGCAAGCCUGAUGGAGCAACACCGCGUGAGUGAAGAAGGGUUUCGGCUCGUAAAGCUCUGUUGUUAAAGAAGAACACGUAUGAGAGUAACUGUUCAUACGUUGACGGUAUUUAACCAGAAAGUCACGGCUAACUACGUGCCAGCAGCCGCGGUAAUACGUAGGUGGCAAGCGUUAUCCGGAUUUAUUGGGCGUAAAGAGAGUGCAGGCGGUUUUUCUAAGUCUGAUGUGAAAGCCUUCGGCUUAACCGGAGAAGUGCAUCGGAAACUGGAUAACUUGAGUGCAGAAGAGGGUAGUGGAACUCCAUGUGUAGCGGUGGAAUGCGUAGAUAUAUGGAAGAACACCAGUGGCGAAGGCGGCUACCUGGUCUGCAACUGACGCUGAGACUCGAAAGCAUGGGUAGCGAACAGGAUUAGAUACCCCUGGUAGGAAAGCG
rnacentral:rRNA from 1 species